CAUGGAUGCAGCUAGAGAUUACCACACUAACUGUUUCAAACCCAAAUGGAAAGAUGAAUGAGAAAAACUCCCUACUUUUAAAAUCUACCAUGGAGAGAAAACCAGGAGGAAGUCCAAGCUUGCCCUCAGGGAUCUUCCUAGGUUCAGCAGCUUGAGCUGGAAAAAGGAGCACAGCUUGUGCUCUUCUCCCUUUAGCAGCGCCAGAGAAGCACCAGUCAGAGUCCAAACACCCAGAGACCACUUGCUCCUAACACAGAAUAAUGGCCACCGGACCACCAACUCUGUUGCCUCAAGUCAACACCAGCUCUCCUUCACAACAGAUGACAGGCUUUCCAGUAGAAGGGUCUCCCAGAAAAAGAGGGAGCGAAGAGAAAUUCAACUUCACGUCUGUGCUAGGAUCUCAUCAAAUAGGAGUGAAAUGGACAGAUGAAAAAGCUGAAACUGAAGCCAGUCUAAGAGUCUGAGAGUAGAGUCAAACAGUAACCACACAGCUGUCAACCCUGGAGGGAUGUGUGAGGAAUUCAAACCCUCACUUGGCAAAGACCUCCAGGUGCUAUAGAGCCAUCAAGAAGAAAGGAACUUUUGCCCCAGUGCUCAUGCCUUCCUCAAGCAUGACCAGUCUUGGUGGAUACGUGGCACAACCCAGGAGGCUUAAUCUGUAUCUCUCAAUGCAAACCACAACUUUUGCAAGUAGGCCCCUUCUACCACGUGAGGUCACAGCAAGAAGACAACUGUCUAUGAACUAGGAAGCAGGUCUUCAACAGAUAUCAAAUCUGUGGGUAUCUUGGACUUGGACUUCCCAGUCUCCAGAACUGUGAGAAAUAAAUAUUCAUUGUGUGA